rnacentral:lncRNA from 1 species
GGAGGUCCUUGGACUCAGAGCUCCUUUUGUCGGACCGGAGAGUCUGCACGCAGAAUUCCUGGGUGACGUUCAGGUGCUUGUUGCGGCAGCUGCUCGAAGCAUUCUUGCAGGUUUCUACCACGAGGUCUACCACCUUGACCUUGUCGCUGCGCCGCCGGCAUGUGCGCCGAUGCACACAAAAAGGAGCAUGAUUGCAACCAAGAAGGCAGCGGUCGCCCGUGUGGUUGCCAUUGCUGCAAGGAUAGCUGCAAUUGUAUUGUAGGCUUUGUAGCUGAGAGAGAGGUGAAGAUGAAUUGAUAGUCAGAUUUUGUAGUGCAAAGAUGGAGGUGGUGUACGGUUCUUGUGACAUCUAUAUAGUGCAGCAGCAGGUUCAUAAAUCCAAUGCAGCUUAGUCACGGAUAUCCAAAUAAUUAGUAUUUCAGACACUAUAUGCACAGAUAUGUGUUGGAAAAAUGAGCAAAUUACUACGAGAUUUAAUACGAAUAAAUAGGAAAUAGAUCAUGACAGCAAUAGCAGAGAUUAAACUAAUCAUGCGAACUAGCAUACUAGAUGAACAGAUCACAUCUAGGGCAUAUACUAGAAACAUGAGUUCUACCACGAUCUCGAACAAGAAAGAUAAAAUAACAUACGGUGCCGCGGGUGAAGCACCGACGGCGUUGACGUUGUCGCCCAUGUCGUCGAGGAUGAGGUUGCCGAGGUCGGGGAAGAAGUCGUCGUUCGCGAAGUCGUCGCUGCCAGCAGUCGCGCGAGUGCGCUCCCCAAAAACCUGAUCGCCCCUCUCCCAUACAGGAUCACGAGAGGCGGGGUUCUAGAGGCCUGCUGUCCCUUCUCCCGAUGCACGCCGAAACGAGGGAUGGAGAAGACUUGCUUGGCGGCGCAAUGAUCUGGAACGGUGGUCAGAAACCAUACGAAGCGGCGACGGCUAGGGUAGACGUCUGCCUGACUAUAUAGUGCGGGCCGGGUAGGUCGUGGGAGUAAACCCCACGUCCGAGUCAUCACGAUCCAAAAGAAUCGGAAAUGGUUCAGUAAUUAACGAGUCCCUUAAUUAUUAAUUAAUGACUCAUUAAUUUUUCCCGAGCAGCAAAAAUAUAGACAAUGUGCAUAGCUCUGUCCUCGGCUUGCCUCAAUCCCGCGGCGUGGCGAGGCGAGCGAGGAGGAGGAGCGCGCGUGUAGGUCUCCUCUUCUCAUGCUCAUACAAGUGGUAGAAGAGCUCACCUUAUAAAGAGGUGCAACUCUCUCUCAACUUCCGGGGUGGGACUAAACUUUAGUCUCACCCACUCCACUCACAUGUGUGCAUGAAUGGGCCAAGAGAAUUUCAGAAUUUUAGUUGGGCUUUGGGCCAAAGGCCUACUAGCAAAAUUCCAACAAUCCCCCACAAAGUCUCAUUGGCACAUCUCAUCAUUUAGUUCCAAAACAUUGUUUAUAUAUCGGUGCUUAGUGGAGACUGUGAAGUUGAACUUCCACUUAAAGAUUUAUGCUACACUAGAUCACAACUUGAAUAGUGGACUAUGCCUUGAACUACAAGUUUUCUGCGAAACUAGUUUCACACAAAUUCUUGACCGAUAGUGGGCUGCCGUAAGGCUUCCCCGCGGGUGGAGCGUAUACGCCGUACUCCAGGGCAUUUUCAUGAAUUUAUUAGAGAACACCCAAUUCUCACAGACUGCGACGUUAACAGUCAAAUUCAUAUAGGUGUGUUCCUCAGAAGAUGUUCUGCAGGACAACAUCUCUGCUUACCCGAAUAAGCCACUUGGAACACAUUAAGAUAAGUAUCAACCUGCCAUGCAGAUCAGGAGAGUAUUGCAUCUUCACGGAGUGGGAUAGUUAAUAUAGGGAUACUCUCCUCCCAGCUGACCAACAGCUUGUCUCCCACUUCUACUUCACGGGAUCUCCGAUCACAUAGAGUGGGUUACCACUAUGNNNNNNNNNNUGUAGCAAGGAUAGAAAGUACAAUAAACUUUCAAGCACAUUAAUCUGAAAAGAAAUCCUCUUAUGAUUUUCUUUGCACAAAUAUGAUUGUGAAAUACGAUUAAUCUAUCACACAACUCCAAUUCAAUCGUGAAAGAUUUUCUUUAAGAAUUUAUUGGUUAAUACAAGAAUAUAAAAUACAAAUAACCUAUGGUGCUUAGCGUAAUCAAGAAUUGCAGAAAUCAAACUUUGAUAUAUUGUUUGCUACAGUGUUACAUACUACUUCUCCAAAUAAUUCUUUUUAGUCUGCAUAUAAGAUUUGCCUGAAGUCAAACUUCAUAAAGUUUGAGCAUAUUUAUAUUAAAAAAUAUUAACAUGUACAAUACUAAAGUCACAGAGUAUAAAAUUAAAAUUCAUGCCGCAUUUAAUGAUAUUGAUUACACAUUGAGAAUAUUGAUAUUUUUUCUGUAAGUUGGUCAAACUUUACGUUGUUUUACUUCAAAUAAAUCUUCUAUACAGAGUAAAAUAUCUGGCGGGAGUAUUUAAUAUUAGAAGUGCUAGCCCGUGCUGAUGCACGGGUUGAUGACUAGUAGAUUAUUAACUAUCAAAGUCAUAUGGCCCUAGCAAGACAUUGUUCAGGCUGCCCAGCUUGAUCAACUCCUCGUUAUCGUUGAUAACUGUCUGGCUUUCCAUGGGAAGCUCAUGCCGGCAGUCGCUGACAUGGUCAGUCGCCUUCUCCACACACUCGGGCAGUUCAAAGAACCACGGGCCGUCGGCGUCGCCCAUGGGGACAUGGAAGUCCCUGAGCAUGGCGUCGCAGAGGCCGAGGGUACCGAUAGCAGCAUCGUAAUCCACCUGGCAAUACCUGAGGCCGAGCGCCUCCUCCGUACCUUUCUUGGCUUUCUGGAGUGCUUCCUUCACCUUGCCGCCGGCAGCCGCCACGUGGAUCUUGAGGAUGUCAACGGCGACGAGCGACAGGUCGCGGAGGUCCUUGGACUCAGAGCUCCUUUUGUCGGACCGGAGAGUCUGCACGCAGAAUUCCUGGGUGACGUUCAGGUGCUUGUUGCGGCAGCUGCUCGAAGCAUUCUUGCAGGUUUCUACCACGAGGUCUACCACCUUGACCUUGUCGCUGCGCCGCCGGCAUGUGCGCCGAUGCACACAAAAAGGAGCAUGAUUGCAACCAAGAAGGCAGCGGUCGCCCGUGUGGUUGCCAUUGCUGCAAGGAUAGCUGCAAUUGUAUUGUAGGCUUUGUAGCUGAGAGAGAGGUGAAGAUGAAUUGAUAGUCAGAUUUUGUAGUGCAAAGAUGGAGGUGGUGUACGGUUCUUGUGACAUCUAUAUAGUGCAGCAGCAGGUUCAUAAAUCCAAUGCAGCUUAGUCACGGAUAUCCAAAUAAUUAGUAUU